rnacentral:rRNA from 1 species
CCUACGGGUGGCAGCAGUGGGGAAUCUUGCACAAUGGAGGAAACUCUGAUGCAGCGACGCCGCGUGAGUGAAGAAGGAUCUCGGUAUGUAAAGCUCUAUCAGCAGGGAAGAAAAUGACGGUACCUGACUAAGAAGCACCGGCUAACUACGUGCCAGCAGCCGAGGUAAUACGUAGGGGGCAAGCGUUAUCCGGAUGUACUGGGGGUAAAGGGAGCGUAGACGGCGCAGCAAGUCCGGAGUGAAAGCCCAUGGCUUAACCAGGGUAUUGCUCUGGAAACUGUGGAGCUUGAGUGUGGGAGGGGCAGGCGGAAUUCCGAGUGUAGCGGUGAAAUGCGUAGAUAUUAGGAGGAACACCGGUGGCGAAGGCGGCCUGCUGGACCGUAACUGACGUUGAGGCUCGAAAGCGUGGGGAGCAAACAGGAUUAGAUACCCGAGUAGUC